ensembl:ribozyme RNase_MRP RNase MRP
GCUCGCUCUGAAGGCCUGUUUCCUAGGCUACAUACGAGGGACGAGUUCCUUACUUCCGCCUAGGGGAAAGUCCCCGGACCUUGGGCAGAGAGUGCCGCGUGCAUACGCGCGUAGACUUCCCCGCGAGUCACUGCUAGUCCGCCAAGAAGCGAUCCCCCCGGGGCGAGCCGAGCGGCGUGCGGCGGGGCGUCAUCCGUCAGCUCUCCUAGUAACGCAGGCAGUGCGCCUCACGCGCACCAACCGCACGGGGCUCAUUCUCAGCGCGGC